GCCGUAUCACGUUGAAACAACAGUUCUCGCAAGAUCACUGAAGUUAAGCAAAGUCAAGCCUGAUCAGUACAUAGAUGGGUGACCGUUUGGGAAUACCAGGU